rnacentral:misc_RNA from 1 species
GGAGUGCAUACACGGAAGCCUUUGCAGCUGGAGACAGUAAGCUGAGCGACUCAAAACAAGAUCAGCCCCAUGCAAGUCGGCGCUCGCGCUGGCGACACUUUCGAACUGACGGGGAAACCCUAAAGCCCUUCCCACCAAACCAGUCCGGGGAAACCCGCUGGCGGCCUGUCCUAGCAGUACAGGGUAUGGUAACAGAGGAAGGGAUGAUCUGGGCAGCAGCAGCCGCCUGGUGAAGUGGGCAAUCCGCAGCGAAGCCCCUAAGGCCUCCGGGUACGGGGAACGUUCACAGACUAAGUGGAAGUGGGUGGAGCCCUAGCAGGCUCUGCUUAAGAUAUAGUCGGGACCCUGGGGAAACCCAGGGCGGUAUUCAGAAACCGUUCCGUAGGUGAACCUUCGGAAGGAUCAUUAUCGAAAUGCAGCGGGGGCAGACAGCUCCAAGGCCGCCGGCCCCCGCGUACACGCAUUAUCCACCCUUGACUUUGAGCACCGUUUGUUUCCUCGGCGGGGACGCCCGCCAGCGAGGACCCCAUUGAACCCUUUGCAGUAGCAGUAUUUGUCUGAAAAAAAAAACACAAAAAUCACAACUUUCAACAAUGGAUCUCUUGGUUCUGGCAUCGAUGAAGAACGCAGCGAAAUGCGAUAAGUAGUGUGAAUUGCAGAAUUCAGUGAAUCAUCGAAUCUUUGAACGCACAUUGCGCCCCUCGGUAUUCCUUGGGGCAUGCCUGUUCGAGCGUCAUUUAACCCUUCAAGCUCAGCUUGGUGUUGGGUGCUUGUCCCGCCUCCCGCGCGGCGACUCACCUCAAAGUCAUUGGCAGCCCGCACCCGCCGGCCAUGAGCGCAGCACAGUCGCGCUCCGGGCUCCGGCAGGGUCGGCUCCCCAUAAGCAACCCCCCAAAAUUGACCUCGGAUCAGGUAGGAUUACCCGCUGAACUUAAGCAUAUCAAUAA